rnacentral:rRNA from 1 species
UACAGAGGGGGCAAGCGUUAUUCGGAAUUAUUGGGCGUAAAGGGCGCGUAGGCGGCUUUGCAAGUGGCGGGUGAAAUCCCUCGGCUUAACCGAGGAACUGCCUGUCAAACUGCAUGGCUUGAGACCAGGAGAGGUGAGUGGAAUUCCCAGUGUAGCGGUGAAAUGCGUAGAUAUUGGGAGGAACACCAGUGGCGAAGGCAGCCCCCUGGGCUAACACUGACGCUCAUGCACGAAAGCGUGGGGAGCAAACAGG